rnacentral:lncRNA from 1 species
UUCUCUUAUUAAUCGUUCAAAUCAUCACACAAAAACCCUAGAGGCGAUAUCUUCUACCUCCUCCAGAUUUCAAUCUCCCUCUUUCGGAUCAGUGAACAAUCGACGGUAAUCUCAGUGGUUUAUUUAUCCUCUGCCUCUCUCUCUCUCUCUCUGAAGAUCAUCGGCGACUAACCUCAAUCGAAGCUUAGGGUUUGAAACUUAGUUUCUUCAAGGAACUGGUUCAAAUAUGAGAAUCUAAAUCGACUAUGGGCAAGAUCCAGUACUCCGAGAAGUAUUUUGAUGAUACAAUUGAUCACAAGUUGCAUGUUUUUCUUACUCAUGAAGUUGUGAAGCUUUUUCCAAAGAAUUGACUUAUACCCGAG